UCUCGAUAGCGUAAAAGUUAAGUCAAAUUUGUAUGGAACGUUUGCCUAUGUUUUCCGCUAAGGGCACUGUCCCAGCUGCAUACAAAUUUCAGGUAACUUUCACGCUUACGA
rnacentral:pre_miRNA from 9 species